UUAUGGAGUUGACCACGGGGUGUUUUUGCUUCUGUCUUCACAGAGAUUGCCCUAGUGACCAGCAAACCUGAGAAAGUUGCUCCUUCCCGUCAGGAUAUAUUCCAAGAACAACUGGCAGCCAUUCCUGAGUUUAAGAACUUGGGUCCAUUAUUCAAGUCUUCAGAACCAGUGCAGCUCACGGAAGCAGAAACAGAGUAUUUUGUUCGUUGUAUUAAACACGUGUUCACAAACCACAUAGUUUUCCAGUUUGACUGCACAAACACAUUAAAUGAUCAGCUGUUAGAGAGAGUCACUGUGCAGAUGGAGCCGUCGGAUGCUUACGAUGUGAUUUGUUGCAUCCCAGCACCCAACCUUGCUUACAACCAGCCGGGAAUGUGUUACACACUCGUCCAGCUGCCCCAGGAUGAUCCUACUGCAGGUAACAAUUGGGAGGGAAU